rnacentral:rRNA from 1 species
GACGAACGCUGGCGGCGUGCUUAACACAUGCAAGUCGAACGGAAAGGCCCUGCUUUUGUGGGGUGCUCGAGUGGCGAACGGGUGAGUAACACGUGAGUAACCUGCCCUUGACUUUGGGAUAACUUCAGGGAACUGGGGCUAAUACCGGAUAGGAGCUCCUGCUGCAUGGGGGGGGUUGGAAAGUUUCGGCGGUUGGGGAUGGACUCGCGGGUUAUCAGCUUGUUGGUGGGGUAGUGGCUUACCAAGGCGUUGACGGGUAGCCGGCCUGAGAGGGUGACCGGCCAAAUUGGGACUGAGAUACGGCCCAGAGUCCUACGGGAGGCAGCAGUGGGGAAUAUUGCACAAUGGGCGGAAGCCUGAUGCAGCAACGCCGCGUGCGGGAUGACGGCCUUCGGGUUGUAAACCGCUUUCGCCUGUGACGAAGCGUGAGUGACGGUAAUGGGUAAAGAAGCACCGGCUAACUACGUG